CACAGAUCAGUUAAGCGUGGGUACUGUGAACUAGUAUAAAUAAUCAAGGCAAACAUUGAUCAGUCCUUUUCAAGACUGAAGCCUUCUGCUGCCAGAUCAACAAGGUUUAUGGUAUUUCCUCUGUGGGAUAUGCUGUGGAACUUGAAUGGUCUCGUAGCCUUUAUAUGUGAGUAUAGCAGUUUUUUAUAUUUAGCAGACUUUUUUUUUUGUCUGAGACAUACACCCAAAAAUAUUUUUUUGCUGCUUCUUCAAACUACUUAUUUAAAAUGAGCUGAAUCAACAUAAUUCUUGAUUUUUUUUUGCCACAACUGAAAUGUUUUACGUUCAGUCC
rnacentral:sRNA from 1 species